UCCCAUAUAGGUCAGUUGGUAGAGCAUGACACUUGCAAUGCCAGGGUUGUGGGUUCAAUUUCCAUUGGGGAC
rfam:Salmo salar isolate Sally breed double haploid chromosome ssa10, whole genome shotgun sequence.